GCGCACGACGGCACGGCGGGCACCGCCCGACACACCGGCUCUCAGAGGCCCCGUGUGGCCACCUGUGCUCCCCGCGGCGGCCCCGCGCGACCGCGCCCGGGCGCCCCGGGACCCGGGGGCUCUGAAGCGGCGAAAUGUCACCACCAGCAUCCAGUCUUCAUGAUUAUACUCAUGCCACCCCAUCUGUCCACCUGGAAGAAGCCCUCGAAGAUACCUGCCCAGCCCUAGUGCAUACACAGGAACCCCAAGUCUCAGAACAAGUAUGACAACAGUGAUGUGCUGAGGACCCAGCCAUGCCAGCCCCAGAAGCACUUGACCUGACCCCUCCAUCCCACAAACAGAAAGGCAGACCACAGAGCACAGCCUCUGUCCAAGGUCACUAAACAGUGGGGAACAAACACAAGCAGCAUUUUGGGGUCACCGGCCACCCAGUCCAGUGCCCUAGCCCUGCUUAUCCGCUGCUGUGUGACCCUGAGGACCUGACACACCACUCUGUGCCUGAGCUUGCUUAUCUGCAUAACAGACACAACACCAGUGCACAGCAGGUUAGAAGCUUGGCCGAGCUCCCAAGAGGGAGGGCCUGUAGCAGCCCCCGAACCCUGGCCUCCAGCCCCAUAGCCACAGCCCCCACCUUGGUGCCUGCGCCCACUGCCAUGUGGGCAGUGGCAUUGAAGUCAUGCACGGGCAGGGUGCUCAGCCACUGGGCCAUGGACCUUUCGUGGCGCUCAGUGCUGAUGAUGGUGGGGUAGAUGUGCUGCUCCUUGAAUGCUGUGACCCCCGCCUCCUCCCGUGUCCAGUCCAGUGGCUCGUGCAGCCCAUCGUUGCCGAAGCGCUGGUUAUACUUCUCAAAGUGCACGCGCUCCAGGACCAGGCCAAGCCCUGGCGCCUUGGGCACAUCCACCUUCGCAUCCCCCCAGCUGCGCUCCAGCACACUCUCGGGGGCAUAGCCCUUGACAAUGGCCACUAGCAGGCCAACCAUCUUCCUGAUCUGGUGCGUCAUGAAGCUCUGUCCCUUGACCUUGAUUACCGCGAACUCCAUGCCCUCCCGUACAAAAGGCUCCUCGCAGAACAUAUCCAGGAUGUACCGCCGAGCGCUGGCCUCCUGGGGCCCCUUCUGCGAAGUAAAGUUGUGGAAGUUGUGUGUGCCCUUAUAGCAAGCGAGGAGCCCAUUCACGCGCUGCAGUGUCUCGGCACUCAGCCGAUAGCUCUCAUCCUGCACAUCGUGGUCCUUGUGGGCGAAGGCAAAUGUGGGCAGCAUGUAGAAGUAGGUCCUGGCAUCACAUUUGUUCUUGGAGUUGAAGCCGCCUGUGACCCUCUUCAGUCCUUGAGGGGAGAGGAGGCAAGUGAGGACAACACUUCCCUGCCAAUGAGCAAAUGAGCACCUGGACAGACAGCUUCUAGGCACUGAACCCACGCGUACCUGAUGCUCAACUGCAGUUAUGCAAACUGACUCAAUGGAAACACCAGGGGUGUUAAAACCCUAGGGUUUGCUGAGGUGCAGGCAGGUGCAUGCUUGCCCUCUGCCACUGUCCACAGAAUACAUUGCAGACCUGAAACCAUGCCCUACAAGUUGUUCUAUGGGAGGCUACAGGCAGCAGCACAUCUAACAGCAAAAAAACAAAACAAAACAAAAAAAACUAGAGCCAACUGAGAAAGAGAAAAACGUUCAAACGCGUUCUAGACCAUUGGCAGGAUGAAGCAGAAGGCAGUCCCCGAAACACAGGAAGGCAGGUCUGCGGGAUGUGAGGCCCCACACUCGGAGAGCUGACAGACCCAGCAGACACACAACACACAAACUCUUCAAGGAAAGGAUGAAGACAGAAUGAAGUGCGUGCUGUGCGAAGGUCUCCAGUUGUGAGCAGCACAGAAUUGUACAUGUGCAGACAGAGAAUUUCCCUGAGGACAAAGUACUGGGGAGGACCAGGCAGCCCCCUGCCCUCCUCUGCCUGAACAGUGCUUGGGCCUUCAGGGUCAGUCUGGGCCCACACCUCACAAGUAGCCAGGCGCCUCCAGCCAGCCUGGCCCUGGGGCUCCUGCCCUCCUUGCUCUCGCUCUACUGUCCUAUUUGAUUUGAAGGUAAUUUUAAGUUUUCUUUUUUGCCUGGCAUUAAAAAUUCACUUUCGGGGAUGCCUGGGUGGCUCAGUGGUUGGGUGCCUGCCUCUGGCUCAGGUCGUGAUCCCAGGAUCUGGAAUCGAGUCCUGCAUUGGGCUCCCUAUGAGGAGCCCUCUGCCUAUGUCUCUGCUUCUCUCUCUCUCUCAAUCUGUCUCUCACGAAUAAAUAAAUCUUAAAAAAAAAAAAUUCACUUUGUCCACACGGAGCAUCACCAGGGCGCAUUGUGCAGGCAGUUGUCUGCCGGGAUCAGGGUCCAGGCUGCCCAACAGCCAGGCCCCAGGGCCACACUGAGGGAAACUGCCUGCCCCGCACGUCACACUGCAGUGGGAGCGCCGACUAUUGUAACUGUACAGGAUUCGGAGCUGUUUCAGCAAAACUGGGGCUGAUCUAGGGACUACACUAAAGAGCUUCCCGUGCAAACGCUGGUUCUACGUGAGGGGAGUCUCGGGAGGGGACCCUCCCCAGAGGCAGAGAAGGACCACAGCAAAGCAAACAAAAACCACGCUACAUUGAAACACAGACAUUCAGUAGUAGGCAAAGUAAUCAAUAAGCGUUACCACCUUCGUAGAAAGAACCCCCUUACUUGCACCAAACACCUGAGGCAGCUUUGUCCAUGAUGGCACGGAAGCCUAGCACCCCUGGUAGGCACACGGAGAAACAAUGUGUGGCACGGCCGCAUGACAGGGCCCAUGCACACCCGGCUCUGUGAAAGAAGCCAGACGUACAAUCUGAUUUCUGUUCACAUAAAACGCUUCGGGCUCAAACUAAUCCGCAGCAGAAUGCAGUGGCAGCCAGUGAGGAGGGGUAGUAGGUAGAGGGGUUCGCAGCCCUACCCUGGAUGGUUCCACAGGUGUGUGCACGCAUCUAAACCCUACGCUUAAAUACAGCCUGCAGUAUAUAUCAAUUAAAUUUCCAUUUAAAGUUUUCUCAAGUGGCUGCCUGAAAAAACCACACUGCAUGGGUUAGUAGCACAAGUGGCCAUAUGAUACAUGCCCAUCAGCACCAGGGCCAAGGGGACUAAUGCAGGGGUGCUGCUGUCGUCUUCAGACACUUUGAGAAGUGGGGUGAGUGGUUAUUAGAGAAGAACGUUGUUUUUUUCUAGAUUGAUUUUUUUUUUAUUUAUUUAGGAUAGUCACAGAGAGAGAGAGAGGCAGAGCCAUAGGCAGAGGGAAAAGCAGGCUCCAUGCACGGGAGCCCAACGUGGGACUCGAUCCCGGGUCUCCAGGAUCGCGCCCUGGGCCAAAGGCAGGCGCUAAACCGCUGCGCCACCCAGGGAUCCCGAGAAGGACGUUCUAACAGAGACAGCCACCGUGGCUGCCUAACAGCCCGUGCGUGAAGAGGCAGAUGGGCGUGGAGCCAAGACAAGGUCAGGUGGCCACAUGGCCUGGCCCACUACAGAGGAUCUACCAAUUCCUGCUUUAACCCUCAAAGCAAACACAAAAACCACAGUGAGGUACAGCUAACAAGGCAACCAAGGUGAUAAUUAGAUGGAAUUAGGAAAAACAUUCAUUAAUCCAAAAGAAAACGGAAAAAGGAGAACACAGAACAGAAAAGACAAAAAGAAACCAAUGGUGAGCUCUACACCAACCAACCAAGCCAAAAGCACAGAAACACUAAUGGCCCGGACACGCCACUCAAAAGCAGAAAAUCAACUGGACAGGACUGUCUCAACAAAGACCUAAAACUCCCAUUUAACAGGCUGCUUUUAAGAGGUUAAUUAUCACCCCAAUUUUAACUUUACCAAACCUGGAUGUUCAUGUUCAGUGUUUAGCUGAAACAAGGUGCUGCCACAAAGGGAGGUCCCAAGUGUCUAUCCAGCUCAUCCCUUUGGGUACUAACCACCACUUCUACCAACCACUAGGCAAUCGCCCCAGUGUCCUAAUUCUGCACCAGAGCAGUCUGAGGUUUCACGUUCCUGCAGGCCCAGCCACCAUGCAGCACUCGGCCUUGCAACGCUUACCCAGUAUCCGAAUGUGAGGUGGAAGGUGGCUGUUGAUCUUUUCUAAAAUGUCAUCAAUCAGCCACACCUUCAAGGACACGACCUGGCCGGCCGCAGACACACCCUGCAAAGGAAGCAGAAGGGUCAGGCACACCCCUCCAUGAGGUGGUUUCCUUAAGGACCAUGCCAACGCUGCAUCAUUUCCUGCACAAGUUCUGAGUUUAGGAGCCCAUCUGAGGGGCUGGCGAUACAUGAGGACGGCGCUCCGCACACCAAGGGGCCAGGCAGAGCACAAUUGCUAAGGAUCACUGGUGGCUGCAGAGCACAAUGGAACACAGCACGCCAGGCAGGUGGGAAAUAAAGGCCCCCUCAUACGUGCUCCACACCACAUAGGGAAAAAGAGCACGCAAUUUUAGUCAGGAAACCACCGGCCAAGCAAGGAAGAGCGGUUGUCCAGCCUCAACCAUGGCUUUGCUGUCCCCACUCCAGGUGCCCAUGGUCACCCGUGCUGCUGACACUCCAGCACAAGCCCAUGCCAUCUGCACCCCCCAUCUGAUCACAUGGGCACAUCUCAUCUCCUCCCCUCGUUGAGGGGGCAGUGGAUACAGCCCAGAAAGCCUUUGAGAGAUCCCCCACUCACACAACUUCCAGGCCAGCACAUGGCUGUAAUGUCCUGGUUUGCCCCAAGCUACUGCUGCUGUCUCUCCCUGGGCCGCGUUUAUGAGCACCAUAUCAUGGGUGUUCAGCACCACUGACAGUGCAGGCAUCCACCAGGGAUCUGGAAUGUGUCCCCCACAAACCAGGGGGCGACCACUGUGCCAUCUAAGUCUCUCCCUCCUCCUUGCUCUCUAAAAAACAAUUGGAGAGAUUGAGGAAAAGAACAAAAAAUGAACAAUGAAGAUGCUACCCAGACUAAGUCCACUGCCCCCAGGUCCACAUUCUCUCAUACAGAGCAUCUGGCCACACACAGCCACAGAGGGCAUCAGACAGCCACUCCAUGAGUGGGAAAUACACAAUGGAUUUCAAACAUUUAGAUAAAAAACAAAAAACAAAAACAAAAACAAAAAAACGAACGAAAAAGGGCACCUGCCUGGCUUGGUCAGUGAAAUGUGCAACUCUUGAUGUGA